rnacentral:rRNA from 1 species
GACGAACGCUGGCGGCGUGCUUAACACAUGCAAGUCGAACGCGCCUGUCCUCUGGGUUUCUGGGGGGUGGGUGAGUGGCGAACGGGUGAGUAACACGUGAGUAACCUGCCCCCUUCUUCGGGAUAACGGUCUGAAAGGGCUGCUAAUACCGGGUAUUCACUGGUCUCCGCAUGGGGUCUGGUGGAAAGGUUUUUUUCUGGUGGGGGAUGGGCUCGCGGCCUAUCAGCUUGUUGGUGGGGUGAUGGCCCACCAAGGCUUUGACGGGUAGCCGGCCUGAGAGGGUGACCGGUAACAUUGGGACUGAGAUACGGCCCAGACUCCUACGGGAGGCAGCAGUGGGGAAUAUUGCAAAAUGGGCGCAAGCCUGAGGCAGCGACGCCGCGUGAGGGAUGGAGGCCUUCGGGUUGUGAACCUCUUUCGCCCGUGGUCAAGCCGCGAAGGGGGUCGUGGUGAGGGUAGUGGGUAAAGAAGCGCCGGCUAACUACGUG